rnacentral:lncRNA from 1 species
AUGAACCUUCCAGCUUGGUGGAUGUGCUGGAGUGAAUCAGAAAGGGCGAGUUUCCUGAAGGCCUGGGAAAAGUUUCCUGAAGGCACAGUGGAAAGCUGUGCCACUGCAUGCGUGCCCCUCUCUGUCGGUCGGCACGAGGUCCCUGCAGGUGCCUGCUCUCUGUGCACCUGGGAACAGCAACUGCAAACCCGAGUGGGUGCCUGCCAUCACCCAACAUCCCUCCCAUGUGAAGUAAUGCCCUCCUCAUCCCGCAAAGAUGGCAUUUUAUGUGAAACCUCCGCUGUGUAGAGGUAGUUGCAGUGGUAUGCCUUCCCGUCAACGAGAGAGCAAAAUAACCUGUGUUUGGGUGAGGAACAAAUAUUAUUUGUAAUACAAAUAUAUUAAAAUUCACAUUCCUAAUGAAUGUAAUUAAACCAAAGUGUUUUUGUUUUUGUUUUUUUUUCCUAACGUGUCUCAAUCUGAAGUGACUGCUCAGAGGCAGCAAAGAGAAAAGAUACCCAAAUGACACUCCAGACCCUCUUCUCCAGCUACAGGAGUACACCCCCUCCAUUUUCCUCUGCAUCAGAAAUGCCCCAAAACGAAGGGAGACGUCCAGACGUCACGCAGUAGAGCAGAGCUCCAUUAAAGCCAAUGCACUUCUUCCUAUUUACAGUAGCCAAAGGGUUCAUCCCUAAUUUCUUUCUGCAGAAGAAUGUGCAAAGCAGAUUUCAGAUGUUUAUGACAAAGCCACGGGUAGGUUGCAGGUUAAUGUACUGCCUAGAGAUGCUCCCAAAGCGUGAAGGAAUGACCAGGAGAGAAAAGGUCAUCUCGCAGGUGUUGCCUAAUUUGCUAUUUCCUCUCUAAAUUGACUUUUGCACUUUUUUUUUUUUUUUUUUCGCAGCGAACAUAGGUACCUCAUGGCACGAUUGUAUUAUUCCUAAAAUGGGUUGCUAAUGCUUGAGAAAUGCUGUUAACAAAAAGAGUAGUCAGGU